GGUUAAGCGACUAAGCGUACACGGUGGAUGCCCUGGCAGUCAGAGGCGAUGAAGGACGUGCUAAUCUGCGAAAAGCGUCGGUAAGGUGAUAUGAACCGUUAUAGCCGGCGAUGUCCGAAUGGGGAAACCCAGUGUGAUUCGUCACACUAUCGUUAACUGAAUACAUAGGUUAACGAGGCGAACCGGGGGAACUGAAACAUCUAAGUACCCCGAGGAAAAGAAAUCAACCGAGAUUCCCCCAGUAGCGGCGAGCGAACGGGGAGCAGCCCAGAGUCUGAAUCAGCUUGUGUGUUAGUGGAACGGUCUGGAAAGUCCGACGGUACAGGGUGAUAGUCCCGUACACCAAAAUGCACAGGUUGUGAACUCGAAGAGUAGGGCGGGACACGUGGUAUCCUGUCUGAAUAUGGGGGGACCAUCCUCCAAGGCUAAAUACUCCUGACUGACCGAUAGUGAACCAGUACCGUGAGGGAAAGGCGAAAAGAACCCCGGCGAGGGGAGUGAAAAAGAACCUGAAACCGUGUACGUACAAGCAGUGGGAGCACCUUCGGGUGUGACUGCGUACCUUUUGUAUAAUGGGUCAGCGACUUAUAUUCUGUAGCAAGGUUAACCGUAUAGGGGAGCCGCAGGGAAACCGAGUCUUAACUGGGCGUUAAGUUGCAGGGUAUAGACCCGAAACCCGGUGAUCUAGCCAUGGGCAGGUUGAAGGUUGGGUAACACUAACUGGAGGACCGAACCGACUAAUGUUGAAAAAUUAGCGGAUGACUUGUGGCUGGGGGUGAAAGGCCAAUCAAACCGGGAGAUAGCUGGUUCUCCCCGAAAGCUAUUUAGGUAGCGCCUCGUGAACUCAUCUUCGGGGGUAGAGCACUGUUUCGGCUAGGGGGUCAUCCCGACUUACCAACCCGAUGCAAACUACGAAUACCGAAGAAUGUUAUCACGGGAGACACACGGCGGGUGCUAACGUCCGUCGUGAAGAGGGAAACAACCCAGACCGCCAGCUAAGGUCCCAAAGUCAUGGUUAAGUGGGAAACGAUGUGGGAAGGCACAGACAGCCAGGAUGUUGGCUUAGAAGCAGCCAUCAUUUAAAGAAAGCGUAAUAGCUCACUGGUCGAGUCGGCCUGCGCGGAAGAUGUAACGGGGCUAAACCAUGCACCGAAGCUGCGGCAGCGACACUAUGUGUUGUUGGGUAGGGGAGCGUUCUGUAAGCCUGCGAAGGUGACCUGUGAGGGUUGCUGGAGGUAUCAGAAGUGCGAAUGCUGACAUAAGUAACGAUAAAGCGGGUGAAAAGCCCGCUCGCCGGAAGACCAAGGGUUCCUGUCCAACGUUAAUCGGGGCAGGGUGAGUCGACCCCUAAGGCGAGGCCGAAAGGCGUAGUCGAUGGGAAACAGGUUAAUAUUCCUGUACUUGGUGUUACUGCGAAGGGGGACGGAGAAGGCUAUGUUAGCCGGGCGACGGUUGUCCCGGUUUAAGCAUGUAGGCUGGUUGUCCAGGCAAAUCCGGAUAAUCAAGGCUGAGGUGUGAUGACGAGGCACUACGGUGCUGAAGUAACAAAUGCCCUGCUUCCAGGAAAAGCCUCUAAGCAUCAGGUAACAUCAAAUCGUACCCCAAACCGACACAGGUGGUCAGGUAGAGAAUACCAAGGCGCUUGAGAGAACUCGGGUGAAGGAACUAGGCAAAAUGGUGCCGUAACUUCGGGAGAAGGCACGCUGGUGUGUAGGUGAAGUCCCUGCGGAUGGAGCUGAGACCAGUCGAAGAUACCAGCUGGCUGCAACUGUUUAUUAAAAACACAGCACUGUGCAAACACGAAAGUGGACGUAUACGGUGUGACGCCUGCCCGGUGCCGGAAGGUUAAUUGAUGGGGUUAUCCGUAAGGAGAAGCUCUUGAUCGAAGCCCCGGUAAACGGCGGCCGUAACUAUAACGGUCCUAAGGUAGCGAAAUUCCUUGUCGGGUAAGUUCCGACCUGCACGAAUGGCGUAAUGAUGGCCAGGCUGUCUCCACCCGAGACUCAGUGAAAUUGAACUCGCUGUGAAGAUGCAGUGUACCCGCGGCAAGACGGAAAGACCCCGUGAACCUUUACUAUAGCUUGACACUGAACAUUGAGCCUUGAUGUGUAGGAUAGGUGGGAGGCUUUGAAGCGUGGACGCCAGUCUGCGUGGAGCCAACCUUGAAAUACCACCCUUUAAUGUUUGAUGUUCUAACGUUGGCCCCUUACCGGGGUUGCGGACAGUGUCUGGUGGGUAGUUUGACUGGGGCGGUCUCCUCCCAAAGCGUAACGGAGGAGCACGAAGGUUAGCUAAUCCUGGUCGGACAUCAGGAGGUUAGUGCAAUGGCAUAAGCUAGCUUGACUGCGAGCGUGACGGCGCGAGCAGGUGCGAAAGCAGGUCAUAGUGAUCCGGUGGUUCUGAAUGGAAGGGCCAUCGCUCAACGGAUAAAAGGUACUCCGGGGAUAACAGGCUGAUACCGCCCAAGAGUUCAUAUCGACGGCGGUGUUUGGCACCUCGAUGUCGGCUCAUCACAUCCUGGGGCUGAAGUAGGUCCCAAGGGUAUGGCUGUUCGCCAUUUAAAGUGGUACGCGAGCUGGGUUUAGAACGUCGUGAGACAGUUCGGUCCCUAUCUGCCGUGGGCGCUGGAGAAUUGAGGGGGCUGCUCCUAGUACGAGAGGACCGGAGUGGACGCAUCACUGGUGUUCGGGUUGUCAUGCCAAUGGCACUGCCCGGUAGCUAAAUGCGGAAGAGAUAAGUGCUGAAAGCAUCUAAGCACGAAACUUGCCCCGAGAUGAGUUCUCCCUGAGACUUUAAGUCUCCUGAAGGAACGUUGAAGACGACGACGUUGAUAGGCCGGGUGUGUAAGCGCAGCGAUGCGUUGAGCUAACCGGUACUAAUGAACCGUGAGGCUUAACCUU
rnacentral:rRNA from 1 species